rnacentral:pre_miRNA from 1 species
UAUAUUGGGAUCAGAUGAGAUAAUCUGCAUCCUGAGGUUUAGAACAACCGAUGCGUCACUGUGUCUAAGCCUUGGAAUGCAGAUUAUCUCUUCCUUAUCACCAAUGCA